CAGCAGUGAUGAGCUCUUUUAUCCCGAAGCUGAUCAUCUAUUGAUGGAACAACCUUUUACAGAUCUGACUACUGAGUU